rnacentral:tRNA from 1 species
GGAGAUGUCGCAUAGUUGGUCUAGUGCGCUACAUUGGAAAUGUAGUAUACUCGCAAGGGUAUCAAGGGUUCGAAUCCCUUCAUCUCCGCCA